GUAUGCAAUGCCAUCAGAAAAUUCAUUUAGGGCUCCCGCCGGCUAUAUUGUAAGUGUUAUUGUUUUCAUCAGUUGCUUUUCAUUUUGAUAGUUGGUUUCUUUUAUUAAAGCACAUAAACGACACUAUCUGCUUGCCUGACUGUUCAAGCAUGCUGCCUAUGUUAUGUUGUGCUUCAUUUCACUUAUUAAGCUCUAGAGGGAUGCAAAAGAGAAAUGCCAAAUCUGUUUAGAUGCUUAAAGUAUUCUUUCUAAACAUGGGGUUUGAUUACUAGAAGAAAAGAUGAAGGCCAAUUGUAUUUUCUUUUUAUUUCAUAGAAAAAUCUCAGCGCCGUUAUGCUGGACAUCAUAUAUCUCAAAUGUAUUUUCUCAUACUUCCGUAGGUUGGACCACAGUAAGAGGCCCCAAAACUUGCGAAGUUCUGUCUUUGGCCAGUUUUGAGUACAGUGUAGUUGACUUCUGAUAAAUCACUGGCUUCGAGCCGAUAACCUCGAAAUCUAUGACAUCACGGUGUGUGAGAACUUCAAGGUGGCAUUGCCACUUGUCUUUCAUUUUCGCAUCUUUUCUGGCUUUUGUCAAACCUUUCUGUCAUGCUUGCAAGGCUACGGUGCAAGUUGGCUCGAAAAAGUGGACAGUGCAUGUUCUGUGCAUAAUGUUUGCAGUAGCCCAUUUUGUUUGUCAACCUUGUGGCUGCGCUCGUGCUGCAAGACUCACCUCCUUGUGGACAUUGUGAUCUGCUGUACGAACGUUGUCGAGCAACAGCUUUGCCACGCUUCCGGAGAACCUUUCAACCGAGUUCAACCUAUCAAGCAAACUUUUCCUGCGUGUUGUGAUAAGACCAAGUUUUGCAGGCCUGCGUGUGUUCAUACAGUAUUUCUAUUCUCUUUGAUGUGCCUCUGUUAUUUAAUGGUUACUACACCUUGUUUCAUGCUUAGCAGGCAAUGUUGCGGAAGCUGUAAAAAUAUGGCGAAUCUUUCCAGAAGCUCAUGCAGGUUCCCUCAUAGCUUUUGGCUACUUCUAACAGAUAAGAAAUUUUCCCUUUCAUGGAAGUAGUACAGUCUCACUCUGUACAUAUUGUGGUGCAGUUGUAUUUGGUCUGCAAUGCUUUCUAUGGCAUAACAUUGUCGCACAUUACAACUACACUCAAAACAUUGAUGUGUGUAGCUUUUCGGACAUGCCUGAGCUUUUGGUGGGUAGCAUGUGCUUCCUGCACCAACAAUUUAGUAAAUAUUGACGUGUCUGCGGAGCGCAAGAGACGAGGACAGAAGAAAGGACACAAUACAGGCGCUUGUCUGUGUUGUCUUCUGGCUUUGUAUGGUUGUUACUACAUAUAGAGCUCCAUGGUUGUAUAUAUUUAUUAAUUCAUUGGUUUUAAAUUUCCUUGCAGCCCUCCUUUCUUCUGUCCUCAUCUUUUGCGCUCUGUAGACACGUUGAUAUUGCAUCACCAACUCGCCCAAGCUUCCACUUCAUCAAAAUAUGGCAAAGUGUUGUUGGUACUUUUUUUCUGUAGCCUUGCUGUAGCACUUCACAACUGCAGGCACUCAUAAUUAGUUUUACACCUUGUGCCCAUACUUCUUAUAGUGGUUCCAUAGUGCAGUGUGCUUGCCUGCAAAUUGUUCAUUGUGAUGUUUCUCACUUCUGUCUUUUUUUUUUUUUUUUUCUGACUGUGUUGCACUUAUAUGGACAGCUAACAGAAUUCUUUCCGUUGUACCUCUCUGAACUACAUCAUAUACAGUGAUGGUUUUUAUUCUGAACAAAGUGAAAAUGAAGAUCUUGUGCUUAAAGCUGCUCUACUUUUUUUGCUCAGAUUUCGCAAUAAGAUUUCAUUUCGUGGCCUGAAUCACCCAGUAAAAUAGUUAACAUUCCUGUUGGCCUGACUUGUCCUGACAUUUAAGUUGCCAGCAGUCGGGAAACCAGUCUUUGUCAUUGUACAAGCUGGUUCAGUUCGCCUGCAACUGUUGCUUUUGAAGGUUCUGCUUGAUGAAUCCGGGAAGCAUUGAUACUAAGGGUUUAGAAUUUAAUGAUCAGAAGGAAAGAAAGUGAUUGUGCAGCAAAAUUUGAGCAAUAACAAACUAGUGGUAAUUGCAAAAUCUUGUUUUGUAAGGUUGCCAGAAUAAAAAAUGUUGGUCACUG